GGGGCUAUAGUUAAUAAUAACAUUUGAGUUGCAUUCAAAAAGUACUAUCCACAAUAGUUGGUCUCA
rnacentral:tRNA from 1 species